rnacentral:rRNA from 1 species
AGUGCGAUAGAGGCAAGUGGAACUCCAUGUGUAGCGGUGAAAUGCGUAGAUAUGUGGAAGAACACCAGUGGCGAAAGCGGCUUGCUAGAUCGUAACUGACGUUGAGGCUCGAAAGUAUGGGUAGCAAACGGGAUUAGAUACCCCGGUAGUCCAUACCGUAAACGAUGGGUGCUAGUUGUUAAGAGGUUUCCGCCUCCUAGUGACGUAGCAAACGCAUUAAGCACCCCGC